AUGAACGCUAGCGACAGGCCUAACACAUGCGAGUCGAGGGGCAGCACAAGGAGCAAUCUGAGGUGGCGACCGGCGCACGGGUGAGUAACACGUAUGCAACCUGCCUGUAAGCGGGGAAUAACCCGUUGAAAGACGGACUAAUACCGCAUAAUACUAAAUUACUGCAUGGUAAUUUAUUUAAACAUUUAUGGCUUACAGAUGGGCAUGCGCAUGAUUAGCUAGUUGGAGAGGUAACGGCUCCCCAAGGCAACGAUCAUUAGGGGUUCUGAGAGGAAGGUCCCCCACACUGGUACUGAGACACGGACCAGACUCCUACGGGAGGCAGCAGUGAGGAAUAUUGGUCAAUGGACGAGAGUCUGAACCAGCCAAGUCGCGUGCAGGAAGAAUGUUCCCUAUGGAUUGUAAACUGCUUUUGCAGGGGAAUAAAGUGCAUCACGUGUGAUGUUUUGUAUGUACUCUGCGAAUAAGGAUCGGCUAACUCCGUGCCAGCCGCCGC
rnacentral:rRNA from 1 species